ACACACAAAAGAAAAGAGAGAGAGGGCACGAGGAAUCUUCCUCACAUUUCUAAUAUUCACCACUUACAGAAUUCCCAUCCAGAGAAGAACGGGCAAAAACACACUCAUCUUCUUCAUCCACCAUUCACGCAAAAUACACAAAAAAAUCUUUAUUUUUUCCCCAUAUUCAGAGAAUUCAUUCACACACAAAUACACAAUGCACGCAUACACAGAUUUAACGAAAAAACUACCUACAUAUACACAGACUCCAAUUCCCAUCUAAAGACUGAUAUAAACGCACAAAAUUACUAGAAAAAAAUGAGAGAGAGAGAGAGAGAGAGAACGCAGAGAUCGGGAAAGGGAGAGAUCAAGUGAGAAGAAAGAGUUUGAGGUCUAGAGAGAAAUGGAGAGAUAGUGAGAAUAGAGUGAAAAUCGAGAGUGAGAUGGGUUGCGUUGAGUUUUUCGACGAGCAAAUUCUCGUCGUAUUUCAUCAUGCAGAUCGGAAACUGACUCUACCAGUCGGAGAUAGGCAGAAAUCGAUCGAAAUCCGUUAGCAGCGAUCUCACUUCAGUUCGUUCUCCGAGCAAGUUCGACGGGAUUUGAAAAGGCAGCCUCAAAUUGAUUGAAACCAACCCAUUGUGGUCAGAUUCCAGUAAAAUUUUCCAAAAACAAGUAAAGCGGGGUCGGUUCUUACUGAAAUCGAGUUCGGACGUGGUUUUUUAUUUAGCGAUUCUGUUCUUGGAUCAAUUGGGUUUCGUUGAUUUUGCGGUUUGCUCAUUGGUUUUUAUUCAAUUUGGACUCGAUUUUAUCAUUGGUUUUUGAUACCAGGCUAGAGUCAUUCCUUUUGAGAUUCUCCAUUGGUUUUUAAAUCUGAUCGGGUUGUAUUUCUCUAUACCGAGUCGAGUUUGGUCGUGGUUGAGGUUCGGUUCGAGGUUUCCGAGUGCGGACUCUCUUUAUUCAAAUAAUAUUGUGUUCGGAAUCUUCAAAAUCCAAUUCUACUCUUUUACUCUUUUAUUUCACUAUGGAUGAUAUUCGGUGCAUCGGAUUUAAUGUUGUGUUGAUUGAUCUUGAUUGGCGAUUGAAUUGCUACUUGUUCGAUUUGUUUUUGAUUCCUUAGAUUACGAAUUGUGGAAAUUUGGUGUUAAAUGAGAAUUUGGGACGGAAUUUGAGAAAUUAAUAAAAAUGGUGAAUUUAGAUUAAUGUUGGUUUAUUGUUGUUUUGCUUAAUUUGGAAUCAAUAUUAAGUUUGUGAAUAUGAUAGUAUCAUGAUAGGUUGAUUGGAUAGGCAAAAUAUUUAGGUUCGGGUAAGCAAAAUUUAGGAGUGAUGUGUUGUUGAAUGCAUUGAAUGUUUAAAUGUGUGUAUUGAAUGUUUUCUAUUUUAUCGUAUUUAAUUCAGAUGUAUUCAUUUGGCUGGAGAAUACCCCAAGGUAUUUGUGUUUAUUUGCUGGGAAAUGCCCCGAAAUAUUUUGUACCCGAAGGACGUUCAAGACGAAGGCCCGAGACGUUGGGUGGAGCUUAUUCUAGGAUUAGUAUAGAAUAGGAUUUAUGUUUUUUUUUUGCAUUUUUCUAUUUUGGACUAUAUAAUUGGACUGAACAUUAUUAUUUUGGUUUUGGAUUGUUGUUUGAUGUGUUUGUUGCUUGUUUUAUGCGUUUGACGUGAUUUAUACAUUCUUAGUGUCAAAAUUAGACGGUACGCACUACCAAGCGACCGUGGUCGACCCAUGGGAUCGAGGGGUGCCUAACACCUUCCCCUCGGUCAACAGAAUUCCUUAGUCGGAAUCUCUGUUCGCAAACCAGUUUUAAAGAGUCAAAAACAGUUUUGAAAAAAGAUUUCCAAAGGUGUCUUGGCACACCUGAUUAUGUCAAGUGGAGACUAUGAAUAAAAAAUAUAAAUAAUCAUUUUUCGAAAUAAAUCUUUAUUUUGUCACUUUAAUAAUAAAAUACCCUUUCGAACUUAAAACUUAAUCUUUUCGAGUUAAAAAGGGGUGUGACAGCUUUGGCGAUUCUGCUGGGGACUUUUUAAAAUUUGAGCUUAUUUUUUGGAGUUGUAUCGACUUAAUCUGAUAUUAUGGCUGUAUAGACAUUAUCUGUGUUAUCGUUCGUAUUUGUUUUAUCAUUGUUGAGUGCCUACGUGCUACGUGUUUAUAGUCUUUCUUCUUAUGUGUUACCGCUUUAUAUCUGGCAUUAUGUGCAUAACCCGAGUCAUUCUUUCUGCAACAAGUCCAUAGUACACGUGUUGUACACGACCUCUAGUUGAGUCACCCUUAUUUUAGGAGGGGGAGCCGUCGAUGUUAUUGAGUGGGGGGAAAUCUCUCGCAACCACUAUCGAUCAUACGUUCCUCCGAAAAGCUUUGUUAGUGAACCCCAACGUAGGUCAGUCUUUAGGACAUGCUUAUCUGCAUCAUAUUAAGACCUAGCGUGACCCGCGUGACCCUUUGUAGGAGACUCACCUUUAAAGCAUCCUUACGUGCUAAAUAUUGUAUAACUGACGAUAAUAUGGUCAUUUGACGAACUGAUUUGGGGAAAGAAUGUGUUAGAAGUAAAGCGCGUAGGCAAGAAAAUGUUGAAAAAAAAAGGAAAAAGAAAAGUGAGUCAAAAAUUAAAAAAAAAAAAGUUUCGUAAGUUCUUAUAGAUUUUUUUAAAAAUUCAAAAAGAUUUUUUAACCUUUCGCACUCAUUUUCUCAAAAAAUAUCAAAAAUAUUUUCCUUUUAUUCCUUUACCAUGCAUUCAUAAUUCGAAAAUUUCUAAAAGAUUUUUUUUUCAAAUAGGAAUUUUUUAUAAAAGAAAAAUUCAAAAAAGAUGGUAGAAGUUUUGUAUAUUUCAUAUCGAAAAUAUCAAAAAGAUUUUUCUUUCAUAGUUGCUGGUGUCAUUUUUGUGUGAAGUGUCAAAUUAAAAACCCAAAAAGAUUUUUCUUUCACCGUCUGUCUGUAAUCGUGUCGCUCAAGUUAAAGUUUUAGUUUGUUAUCUAAUCCUUAAUUGUCCAAUCUGAACGAACUACGCACCCCUGAUUCUCCUCUCUCGAGAGUGAGAUACAUAGACAGCCUAUUAUUGGUUCGGGGAUCUUAUUUAAAAAAUUCAAAAAGAUUUUCUUUCACUCUUCAUUUAGAGUAGGUGUUUUCUAUACAUCUCCAAGAGAAAACUACAAAAGAUUUUCCUUUAAUAGGUUCAAAUUUUAUUUUCAUAUGAAAUUCAAAAUCGAAAACUCAAAAAGAUUCUUCUUUGGUAAUCAUAGGUUUCAUUUUGUAUAGGGAUGUUAAACUUGAAAAAUGCAAAAAGAUUUUCGUCAUUUUUUUUGACAAUUUGUUAUUUUCUUUUCUUCUUAAAAUUUCAAGAAAAAGAAAAAGAAAGAGAUUUUUAUUAGCCCUUUUGUGGCCAAACUUCAAGAACUACGCACACCUGAUUCUCCUCUUUCGAGAGUGAGAUACGUAGGCGCCCUUCUUGGGUUCGGUGAUCUUUCCAAAGAAAAGAAAAAACUAAAAAAAAAAGAUUUUGAGAAAGUGUUGAACUCUAACACGUUUGUUAUCUCUUGUUCAGUUAGUUUAACUUGGUUGGUUUGUGGCAUUUUGGCUGGUCCUCCACAUCACAUCACAUCAAAUCUGAAGAAGGUUUAGUUGUGCCCAAUAAGUAUAUAGAGAGUGACCUCAUGGAUCAAACAAAGAGACAAGAAAUUGAGAGUUUAAAAAAAGAGAAUUUAAGACUAAACAAAUAAUGAAAACGUAUCGAGCUUGGGCUAGUGGGGCUGCCUCCUUCUCCAUUCCCCACUAUUAACUCUGCAAAUACCUUGAGUCUUCCACUAAAAUCACAAAGUUAGUUUUCAACUGUUGUUGAUACACCACAGCAUGCUGCAGAAUCCAAUCCACAUCAAAUGCACCCUAAUACUUCCACCACUCAUUCUUUAGCUCCUCAGUAUAAGUCUACCACAUUCAUAGCACCACAUACCGUCUGUGCUUUUGUUGCUCAACCUUCUCCUGAGGCUUCCACUUUGACUAUCAAUCCAACGAUUGUGCUUCCCCAGUCCACUAGUGAAUCCGCAUUCAAUACUCUUGAUGAUCAUUGCUAUACUAUUGAGCUUACAGUUAAGUUAAGCGGACCGCCAAAAUUUCUUACCAAGAAGCCUAGCAUUCCAGAAAAGCCAGAGAAAAUGAUGGUGAAAGUGAAGAGUGUAACCAAUGAUAUGAAAAGUUCUCUGGGACUUAUGGGCUAUGAAGAUGUUUCAUAAAAAAACUGGGGCAUGUUUUCAAGUGUUAACCUUCCUUCAAGAUUUGAUACAUCAAAGUUUAGGAAACCUGGUGGACAGAAGGAUUCUGUGAAACAUUUGGGAUGACAUUGCAAUCAAUCAAGAGAAACUAAAGGAAAUGAGAAGGAAAACACACCUGUUGUCAUGCCAGGGCCAAAGCAGAAUUUGAGAGGUCCAACCCACCAAUACUGUCAGCCUCAAUCCCGAGCUUACAUAUUAGAUCCACAUAACCACUUGCAAUAAGGUUCCUUUCUCUAAAAUUCAAGAAACCCCAUUCCACUUCCUCAAUAUCCUUUGAACAAUGCACAGUCAUAUGCUUAUCCAUUUUUUUAUCCACAAUGGCGUGCCCUGGUAUAUCAACGUCAUCCUCGACCCCCACAAAUUUACCAAGGAACCUCUAAGUUCAAGUUUCAUCCGAGGCCAGAGUUUGCAAUGAGGAGAAAGGCAAAAGAUAAUUUCACACCAAUUGGGGAUUCAUAUACCAGUUUGUUCCAGAUAUUGAGACAAUGGGGCAUAAUCACUCCUGUCCCUGGGUAUACUCCCGAUCCAUAUUCAAAAAAUUUUAAUCCUAAUGUACGAUGUGCUUAUCAUUCUAAUAUGGAAGGUCACAGUACUGAAAAUUAUCGUAUUUUGAAAAGAGAAAUAGAGAAAAUAAUUCAAGAAAAAUUAAUUAUGGUGCAAAACAUUAGCACCUCAACCGUCCCACGGAGUUCUUCGCCAACACGUGAUACUACACAAUAUGUGGAAAAUAAUGAGUUAAGCAUGGGGACUCAGAACUUAUUUGUUGAAGGGAAUGUGUCUGAUCAUGGUAGAAGCUUUAUUCAUGCUGAUAUGCAAACCAGUGGGUAAGUUGUCAGACUGAGCAAUUGAGAAGUCACCCCUCUCCCAACUAGUAAGAGGUUUGAGAGUUUGUUUUGUUUUAUUUUUUGUUUUCUGAAUUAUUUCAGGAUUGUAGUUCGGGAUUGUCAUACCCUAUUUCUACCUGAGGUCAAAACGAGCACGACAUUAUGGAUUCUAAAAGAAUGAAAAUUGUAUAGAGUCGCCACCUUAUUUUAAGGGAAAUGAGAAAAAUCCUUUUUUAUUUAUUAAAAUGCAUGACUUGUGUUUUAGUCUAUGGAACCAGUUUAGAUUCUAGGUAAGGGUUCAAGUUAUUCUGAAGGGAAGGGGUUAGGCAUCCUUCAGAAUCCACAAGUGUGGUACCCGGCUAGACUAAAUUUAUCAAAGAGGGAGGAAGUAUAAAUAUUUAAAUAAUAUAAAGUUGUAUGUGUAUUAAAUAUAUAAAUAAAUUUAUUGUUAUGAAAAUAUGUACAAAAGUAUGUAUAAAAAUAUAAAGAUUUCAUGUAAUAGGAAAAAAUAUUUUUUGUAACAUAUAAAAAAAAAUAUCUUUUAUAUACUAAAAAGGAAAAGUAUUUUUAAAUCAAAAAUCACAAAGAAAAAUAUAAAUUCAUUUUUUAAAAGAGAGCUAUGUAAUAUGUGAAUAUUAAUUAGUUGAUUAACUUAAUUAUUUUAUGUAAAUAUUAACGGCAUAAGUUUUGCUGAAAAUGGAUGAAAUUAUGUAAAUAAAGAAUAUCCCCGCCCGGCACCAAAAAAGUAAAAUUUUCACUAUUUUUUUUUUGUUAUUUGUACAAGUGUGAGAAUAUAAAAUACAAUAUAAAAUUUAAGGGCCUCUUUGACUGUAACUCCCGACGAAUAUUUCAAAAUAACAUGUAUAAACACUUAAAAAAAGAAUAUUAGCAACAAAUAAAAAUAAUCAAAAUAAAUUGAACAAGUAUGUAUGAGUAUGAAUAUUUAAAAAUAUAUUUUUUGUUAAAAAGUGGGCUCAGAUAAUGUCAUGACUGCAAAAUGGUUGCUCAAUUAAUUGGCCGUCCUAAAUCGUCUUGCAACGAAGUGGUUGCUCAAUUAAUUGACCGUCCUAAAUAGUCUUGCCAAGAUAUGAAUUGUAAAAUCUUAUGUUGUUAUAAAGUUUCAUCAUCGCCUAAAAAAUAUUUAUUUAUUACGUAUGUAUACGUAAAAAGUCUGUCUUUUAUUUAUGGAGACCUCAAAAUUAAUAAUAAUUUUUUUAUUGGCCACGAUAGUAUUUGUUCGUUAUCAGUGUAUAUCCAAAAAUGAGUACAGGAAGAUAAAAUUCCAUCUAAACUAUCCGAAACGUGUCAAACACAAUAAAACAACAUCCAAAAUAAAAGUGAUCCCAAAACAAGCAAAUCAAUGGAAACAUGUAAAGAAAUGCUCAAAAGGGAGCUUGGCCAAAAAUUCAAAGCCAUAACAAGAUCGGAUACCACAAAAGCUAUUAACGGCGUUGCUUCGACGAUGUUCACCGGAGCAACGCCAAAAAAAUGUGACUACGAUCAGAUCUGGCUAGUUCUUGAUGAGCAAAAUGAAAUGGGAAGUAGAGGAGGGGGCUGCCGCGAUUUGGUGAUGACGCGGCUGGAGGUCAAAGCUCUUCAGCCAUCAACUCCAGCGAACUAGCGGCACAACAAAUGAAGAAGGAGAGGGCGACAAUGAUGGUGACUCGCCGGUCGGAGCUCGUGUCGCUUGUGGUCGGCGUUAGUUUUUUGGCGAUGUGGCUGCCGGAGAACGGAUAAACUGUUAAUGUUUUAGAUCUAUAGAGAAAGUGAAAGCUUAAAUUAAAAAAAAUUAUGUAGUAGGCAUUUGUGUAUAUAUUUUUUCAUGUGUGUUUGUCUUGGUGUUUUGUCGUGUAUGUUUAUGUGUGUUUUGUCAGAAGAAAUGGAGAUUUUUCCUGCCAGUGUCUCCGUUCAAGUCCCAUUAAUGUGGUGAUAAUAUCCCUGAUAAAUAUUAUGUGUGUUUAUCCGUUGGAGCGCAUUUUCUGUGUGUGUAAAUGUGUCCGUUUAAAAUUGAUUAUUGCAAAAGAUGAGAAAUAUCAAAAUUCAAGAUUUUCUUUUUGACUUUUCAAAGAUCAUGAUUAUUGGUUAGGUAAAAAAGAUGAAGAGAAAAAAAACGUGUGUCUUUUUUUGAUUUGUAUUUGAGAGAGAGAAAAAAUAUGUGUGGGUGUAUGAAAAUGUGUGUGUAGAGAGAAAAGAUGAAUAAAAAAUGUGUGUCCAAAAUAUGUCCUCCCACCACUUAUUUAUACAAAAAAUUGAGCACCCCUUUUAUCCAAUGGAUAAAGGGGUGUCCUCUCUUUUUAUAAUAGAAUACCCUUAGGUCCUUAAGUUAUUAGCCAACGAAUUUUCAUUUUUUUGAGCAACGGACAAAGUAAUUAUCCAAAGGGUAGUGUCAUUGAGUGGUCGUUAUCAAAUGUGACGAGACAACACUGAGUGGUCAUUGUCGGACGUGACAAGACAUUAUUGUGUAGUCGUUGUCGGAUGUGAUAAGACAUCAAAUUAUUAUACUGCACAAAAAUAAUUGAUCUGACUCAGCGUUUGCAGACUGUAAAAUAUAGAUGUUGAAUGAAAAAAUGUAAAGAAUAUUAAAAUUAUUAAAGUAUAAUUAAUUUAAAAAUACUGUAAAAAAUAUAUAUAUAAUGUCAUGUCAUGCACGUGCGCAAAUAUUUGUAAAAUAAUAAAUUGAUAAGAAUAAGAAAAAUUAUUAAUAAAUUAUAAAGAGUAAACAAUCCUAAAGUAAGGAUAAAAAUCAAUAAUUUGUUAUCAAUUGUAAAAAAUAUAUGAAAGUUGUAUUUUGUGCCCUUUAACGAUCAGGAAGCCUGAAUACGUUAUUUUUAAGCACGGAGAGCAAAAAUUGGGUGUCAACAGUUGCCCGUUUUCGUUUGAAGGCGAUGUAGAAGUCUUCAAAUGAAAAUAUUGACGUACAACCAAUUUUGCUCGAUAGAAUAAUUUGAUGAAAAUUUGACCGAACUCCGAUUUAGAGUUGCCUACAUACCUCGAGUUGUGUGAGGAUCAGGUCAGGUGUAGUUCAAAUGGGAUGAAUACGGGUGCUUGUUCUAAAAUUGACUGUUUGGGUAGCUGAAAAUAAGUAGAUGUCGGAUAGCAAUAUUUGUUGGGGACUUUGAAGGAAAAGGAGAUUGCUAAUUUUCAAAGAUUGCCCCAAUAUCGGAUUAAGACGAUAUUGAGUAAUGAUAAUAAGGAUUAUAAAAAUGAGAGUUUUGGGUCGAAUUGAGUUGAGUUUCUUCGCCGAAAUUCCUGACGUAACUAGGGAUCCCUAACAUUCCGCUAGCUUGUCCCAGUUUGCUGCUAAGAGGAUAGUUUCACGUUGUACUGCAUGUUCUAGUAUUGUCUCUAUUUUUUAAGGCAAUCUGCCUGGCUGGGUGAUAAAUGAAAUGUAAAUAGCCUCCGUCGGCUGAGAAGUUGCUUGAAUGUAAAAGCCUCCGUCGGCUGAGCAGUAACUGAGAUGUAAACAACCUCCGUCGGCUGAGCAGUUGCAUGAAAUGUAAAUAGCCUCCGUCGGCUGAAAUGUAAAUAGCCUCCGUCGGAUGAAAUGUAAAUAGCCUCCGUCAGCUGAAAUGCUUGUUGAGGAAGUGAAAGUUUCAUUAUAUGCCAUAUUGUUUGGGGAGGACUUGCCAUGUCCUAUUGUUCGGGGCUGACCACCCUGUCCUAUUGUUCGGGACGGACUGCCCUGUCCUGUUGUUUGGGGCGGGCUACCCUAUUUUAUUUUAGAGUUUUGUGACCAUCUGUUAGUACUUGAUGACCGAGUCUUAAUGGGGAUAUCCCUUUAAUGCGACUUGUGAUAGAGAUAUGAUGUUGAUUUUCUGAUGGAAUGUUGUAAGAUACUUGACACGUGCCUUCUUGAGCAUUAUUACUGUAAGAUUCGAGAAGAUUCUUUAGUUUCUUGGAAUAAUUAUAGAUAAAUUGACGAUACCUGAAUUCUCAACUUGUGAUAGUGAGGCAGUAUUUAGGCUUCUAAGAUGUGUGAACCUUUGUUGUAGCGAUGUCGUACCUGCACUGAAAGAAAGUUUCUUAGUUUGGGGAGGGCAUGUUGAUUUUGUGUUGAUCGAGAACUCGGCCUAGCAGCUAUCUCGUACUUCAAUAUUUCGACAAUCGAUAAUCUAUUCAGGAUUUGGAGUAGUGACACUUCCUAACUCCACAUAAUGUGCUUAUACUGGUAUGUCUUCUGGUGGAAACUUUCUUCAUCUUGAUCUUCGCUUUCAGACUUAUAUCAAAGUGACGUGGUUGUUGUGGCUUGAGAUGAUAAAUGAAAUUUGAAAAGAUGUAAAAGAUUAUAUUGUUGAUAUGACCGAGCCUGACUUAAGCUGCCUACAUAUCCUAGAAUAGGAAUCAAGUCAAAACGUAGUUUCGUGUGAGGGGAAUCAAGAAAAAUUUGGCCACAAGGGUGGGUAUGUGGAGAAUGGUAAGGUUGGUAAUCAUGAGCUUGCUUUGGAAAGCUCAUUUGGUCAUUUGCCGGAGCGGUGCCUCUUAUGUAUGAGUCUUCAACAUCUUAUGGCUUUUUCUUGUGCUAACGAUUAACAUCAAAGAAUUUCUUAAUUUGAGCAAUGCUUUUGUAAGUUGUUGGAGUCGAUUAAGCGUUGAACUUUGCAUCUCAAUGUUUUUCAUGUCAAGGUUUUGAGCGGAAGAGUAGUAAAUGCAUUGUAUAAGCUAUCUUUAUAUAUAGUCUCGCUGACUUGCGUUUUGAUGAAGGUAAGAGGCUUGGGUACAUGCGCGAGUCUUCUCUUCGUAUACUCUGAAUAUUUCUUGGGCGCCUCAUUGAUAGUCUCCUUAUCUUGUGGGCGUCUUCGUAUAUGAACUCUUUUUGGGUCCACUAUAGUCGUCCUUUCGUGUACCUAUUUCAAAAGAAAUAACUUGCAACAACAGACAUAACAACCCUUUUGGUUGUUGCAUAAUUAUUUGUCAGUUGAAUAUGUCUUUAAAGUGGGGUGCUCAUUUUGGACACCGCUGACACUUUAUGCAAAAGGGUCCCCGCGACCGAGUAAUCUUGUGUUGAUGCGGUAACCCUUUUGAGUCACCCAUAAUGCUUAUGGAAUGAUGACCUCUCUGGUUAUUGCUAAUAAUUCUUCGCAUAUGAUCUCGGAUAAGUGUUGCACAUCUUUUGUAUCAAUACGACUUAUAAAUUCCUCUUGAAUCGUGAAUCUUUGGAUUAUCUUGCGCAUUGGAUUAUCAUGCGCAUUAUUUAAUGUUAGAUACGAGGCGACUUAUAGAUAUCCUUUGAAUUGCUAUCCUUUAGGUAAUCCUGCACAUUAUCCGACUUUAGAUAAGAGAUGACUUAUAGAUAUCCCUCCAAUUUCUAGCUUUCAGGUGUUUCUGCACAUCAUCCAACCUUGGACACAAUAUGAAUUAUAGACAUCUCUCAAAUUGUUAGUCCUUGGGUAAUCCUGCACAUAAUCGAUCUUGGAUAUGACGCGGCUUAUAGAGAACCCUUGGACAUACCAAUUUGAUGAUCUCGUAUAUUCUCCGAUAAGGAUUUAGUUGUGACUUAUGGAUAACCUUCGGACUAUCAAUUUUUGGGUAACCUUGCAUACUAUCUGAUUGGGAUGUUAUUGCGGCUUACGAAUGACCUAUGGACUAUCAACUUAGAGAUAAUCUUGCACACUAUCUUAUUUCAAAUAAUAUGACUUAUAGAUGAUCCUCAAAUUAUUAAUUUCAAGGAAAUCUCAUAUGGCAUUCGCUUUCAGAUAGAGACUUAAAGACGAAUCAUGUGCUUUUGAUGAAUUCAGAUGCUGAUUCAUAGGAUGAUGAGAUAUCCUCGACGCCACCAUAUGCUAUCUCACGUGUCAACAGAUAUUGAAUGUUGAUAUCCUCGAUUGAUGUAUUAGUCAUAAUCCAAGCUUGAAAGCUUUUAAGCAUAUUUUGGAAAUCCUUCUGAUUGGUUGACCUCUUUAUGACUGAAGUAACGAGUGUUUGAUCCUGCGCUGAUCGUCGAUAUGAUUUUGGAACAUUUGUAUUGAUAGUAUCUUUUAACAAUAUUUGUAGAGAAGAUCCUUGGUUAAGUGGUGGAAGUGUCUUCUAUAUAGACCCUUGGUGUAUUUCUCUCGAUAUUGUAGUCAAUUCAUCCCCCAUUGAUGUCUUGUAGCUUUAAUGAUGUCUUACAUUAUCUGGUACAAAUCAACCUUGAUUGUAACAUUUCCAAGUUGAACGUCCUAGCCUUCGUUGAUUUUUGAAACGUUCUUCAAAAUUUUUCCCCAGUCUCUUGGAGUGACUUUCUCGAUGAUUCUUUGCUACGUAUCUUGGGAUAGUCUUGAUGGAUCGUGUCGGUUUUUCUGGAUACCGUCGCGUUCAAGUUUCGCUCGUCAUUAGGGAAAAUGGAAUUUUGUAUUAUAAAGGGAUUGAACCUUAUAUAGGCUGUCUACGUGUCCCGCCAGGGAAAUCAGGUCACAUGUAGUUUCAACUACAAAAGGAGAAAUGAUUCUCCUUAAGUACGACCGAACCCGAUGAGGGUUGCCUACGUAUCUGACCAUGAGAAAUCAGGUCAGAACGUAGUUCUGAUACAUGAUAGUUAGAGGAGAUCCUAUGCCUUCAAAUAUAGGACUCUAUUUAUUGUCUCUGAGUCGAUUAACUUGGAUUCGUCUAUAUUGUAUUCCCAUUAAAGUUAGCGCUUCUCUGUAGAGUGGCUUAUAUGAAGGCCCUGCUGGACGUGGAGGAUGGUGUCUCUCACGUCAUAUACACUCCUCUAUUUUCAUGAUUGGGCACCGAAUCAUUAUUUGCAUUUGGUUGCUCUUUGACACAUUGGAUUGCCCUAGCCUUGAUCAAGCACUCAAUUCUAUGCCUUAACCUAUUACAAUCUCCAGUAUCGUGCCCUAAAACUCCAGAAUGGAAAGCACAUCACUUUGUUUCAUCGAACCAUUUAGGUAAUGGAUUAGGAAUCUUUUCCAACUCCAAUCACAAUAAAUUUACAGCUCUUAGUCUCUCAAAAAGUGUCAAUGGUUCAAUAAAUUGAGUGCAACUUUGAUUGCGCUUACCCUUCGAAUUUUGUCUUAGCGCAAAAGGUGUCGAAUUUUGACAAACUAACAUUGGAUUGGUACGCAUGGUUGUGGUGGAUUUUGGUAUGUGAGAGCUUGGGGUUGAAGGUAAUUUUGUAGGAUAUUAUAGGCAUGAUGAAAUGUAUGAUUUGAUAUUUGCAUCAGUUCAUUAUCAGGACUUUGAAGUGAUUGGGAUGAUUCAGGUAUUGAAUGGUGUGGUAUCAUAACAAAUAUUUCUUCUUCAUUCUCCUCCUUGCCUCCUUCGAUGGACUCUAACUGGGUAGCCUUGCUCGAGUUAUUUGCUGACUUAAUCUUUCCAGAGUUAAUCGCCUCUUCUAUAAAAUUCCCCAUUUUGACACAAUCAGCAAACUUCUGCCCCAAUGUGGACAUUACCCUUUCAAAAUAGACACCCUUUUGACUGCAGAUAAAAUACUUCAUUAAUUCACUUUCGUCCAGUGGUGAUUGAACCUUUUCUGCCUUAGACCUCCAUCGCCGAGCAUAUUCGUAGAAGGAUUCAGAGGACUUCUUUUGUAUAUUGAUGAGAGAAAGUCGAUCAGGUACAAUUUUUGUAUUAAACUUGAAACGAUUCAUAAAGUCUUCAGCCAUGUCGCUCCACUUACGCCAAUGACGAGGGUCUUGGUUGGUGUACCAAGUGAGAGCCUCACCAGACAAACUUCUAAUGAACUUCAUUAUGAGUUUCUCAUUUUUUCCAAUUCUUAUCAAUUUAUCACAACGCUCUUAAAUGAGUAUGAGGAUCCCCGGUUCCAUCAAACAAGUCAAACUUAGGUGGCUUGAACCCGAUUGGCAAAUCAACAUCUGGAUAGAUAUAUAAAUCUUCAUAGUCCAAAUGAUUACUGACUUAAGUUUCUUGGAGGUGUUUCAUCUCUCGCUAUAGAUUACGAAGCUCAUUUAUAAUUUUGUCAUUCCCCUCUUUUUGUCCUUGUACUUAUCGGAAGCCUACCUUUAGCUGGCACGGUGAAAAUGGGUGUCUUAGUCACGCACAUUGGAGAAAUAUAUUGUUCUUUAAAGGUAGCCUGAUUUGUUCGUUGAAUAUCACAAGCAGAUGUGACAAUAUUUGGAUGUAGGGUGCAAUGAGGAAAUUUAUGGGAGGUGAUAAGUGUGAACGGGGAUGAGGGAUUUGUUAAACCAACAGUCGUUGUGGGAGGUUGUACUGACUGAUAGCGUUUAGGUAUUGGAGUUUUUAGCGAUAAAAAUUAGGAGGGCGUGGUAGAGUAGCCGUGGAUGGAUGUGUGGGAUCCUUUCCUUGGUGUAGUUCUCCUCUUAACGUCUCGAGUUAUUGAUCCAAAAGAAGCAUACGUUCAUUAUCUUGUCUUUUGAAAAUUCCUGAUAUGCUUGCCAGUGUUGGAACACUUCUGGUCAGGUCGACAGUAUUGGUAUUCAUUAUAUAGCUUAAGUCGGCUAGUUCUAUCGAUCAACACAAUCAACCUCUAUCAGGGAAUAAUGCAAGCACAAAUAAAAGUUCAAGAGUUAGUUUAUGUCGAUGGACAAGCACAUUCAGACAAUAUCGAGUAAGCGUAUCUUAUAUUGUGGAGCCUCAUUUUGCCAGAGGUAGGCCUUCGUCCAAGCAAACUGAUAUAGAUGAAUUUAGAUUUUGAUACAUUUUGGAUUCAGAACAAUUUUAGGUUUUCUUGAAGAGGGAAUGUAUCCAACAAGGGCGGAUAAAAGAGGCUUAUAUAGUCGAUAAGAAUUGAUAGAAGCGGGCUAAAAUAAUACCUUUAAAAGAGUGAGUAUCUCAAGUCUCGUUAUUGAUGAAUGAGGAUCUUGUGGUAGAGAUAUCGAACGGAGGAGAAGUAUCGACAAUGCCUCACGCUCAUUGGCUGGAAAGAGUUAGAAGUGGGUGAAGAUGAAUAAUAUUCCACAUUCAUUGUUUUGAAGAAGGGCGUCAAAUAAUUGUAGAGUUUUAAAUAAUAUUCUACGUCCGUUGACUAGAAAAAAGAAUCAAACAUUGGAAGAAUUCUUGACGACAUUCCACUCUAGCUUGGAUCAAAAAAGAAAAAGUUAGACGUAGGUGGAGUUGUUAGUAACAUUUCUAUCUGCGGACUUGAAGAGAAAGUUGAAUGAAAGCAAAGCAUUUUUAGAACACUCGGCUUUCAUGGACUCUGAGAAAGAUAUUUGUGAAGCGAAAUUUUAACAACACUCUGUAUUCGUGAAAAUGGUGUCAAAAAUUGGCAAGUUUAGGUAAUACUUUAUGUCUAUUGAUGUGAAAAUGAUUUCGAAUGAAGAAAGAGUAAAAGAAGGCGAAUUUGAUUGUUCUGAAUCCAUUAAUGUUUGAUUUCUAGAUUAUCUGAAUCAGUUCUAACACAAAAUAUGUCAUAAAGGUUCCAUAACCUUCUGACGAAAGGGUGGCUUCGUAGUUACGAAGACGAUACCUUGGACCAUUCCGCCUAAGGUAUAUGCAAUAUGGCCUAUUACUAGAGUAGGAUUUUUCCCUAAAUGUUCAAGAGUGGGACUGGACAUUUGCUAGAAGAUGCACUAACCUAACUGCACCGACUCUGAAACUAAGGAAUCCAAAGAAGGUUCGGAGGAGUGCAGUACACCCCUCGCGUAUACCACAGUGUCUGAAAUGUGUACAGACAAAGACUCGAUAGAAAAAUGCGAGUGAUAAAGCAGUAACAAGUAGUGUUAUUCAAACAAAUAAGGAACGCAAGUUUGGAUUUGGCUUGCGUGCUUUCACACAUAGCAUGAUAUAAAAAUAUGUAAAACAAAUAACAUAAUAAAGCAUAAAAAUCCUAAACUAAGCAUGAUGAAAAAAUGUAAAGAAUUUAUGAGCAAAUUCACAUAAUUUGCAUUGUAAUAAUAGGUAAAGAAUUUAAUCAUAUACAAAAAAUAUAAAAAUACCUCCCUCAAUUGAAAAUCGAGUCGAUCAUGGUUAGAACGUCUCCUCCUUCCCAGCAGAGUCUUCAUUCUGUCAUACCCUAUUUUUACCUGAGGUCAAAACGAGCACGGCGUUAUGGAUUCUAAAAGAAUGAAAAUUGUACAGAGUCGCCACCUUAUUUUAAGGGAAAUGAGGAAAACCCUUUUUUAUUUAUUAAAAUGCAUGACUUGUGUUUUAGUCUAUGGAACCAGUUUAGAUUCUAGGUAAGGGUUCAAGUUAUUCCGAAGGGAAGGGGUUAGGCAUCCUUCAGAAUCCACAAGUGUGGUACCCUGCUAGACUAAAUUUAUCAAAGAGGGAUGAGGUAUAAAUAUUUAAAUAAUAUAAAAUUGUAUGUGUAUUAAAUAUAUAAAUAAAUUUAUUGUUAUGAAAAUAUGUACAAAAGUAUGUAUAAAAAUAUAAAGAUUUCAUGUAAAAGGAAAAAACAUCUUUUGUAACGUAUAAAAAAAAAGAAAAGUAUCUUUUAUAUACUAAAAAGGAAAAGUAUUUUUAAAUCAAAAAUCACAAAGGAAAAUAUAAAUUCAUUUUUUAUAAGAGAGCUAUGUAAUAUGUGAAUAUUAAUUAGUUGAUUAACUUAAUUAUUUUAUGUAAAUAUUAACGGCCUAAGUUUUGCCUAAAAUUGAUGAAAUUAUAUAAAUAAAGAACAUCCCCGUCCGGCACCAAAAAAGUAAAAUUUUCACUAUUUUUUUUGUUAUUUGUACAAGUGUGAGAAUAUAAAAUACAAUAUAAAAUUUAAGGGCCCCUUUGACUGCAACUCCCGACGAAUAUUUCAAAAUAACCUGUAUAAACACUUAAAAAAAGAAUAUUAGCAACAAAUAAAAAUAAUCAAAAUAAAUUGAACAAGUAUGUAUGCAUAUGAAUAUUUAAAAAUAUAUUUUUUGUUAAAAAGUGCGCUCAGAUAAUGUCAUGACUGCGAAAUGGUUGCUCAAUUAAUUGGCCGUCCUAAAUCGUCUUGCAACGAAGUGGUUGCUCAAUUAAUUGGUCGUCCUAAAUAGUCUUGACAAGAUAUGAAUUGUAAAAUCUUAUGUUGUUAUAAAGUUUCAUCAUCGCCUAAAAAAUAUUUAUUUAUUACGUAUGUAUACGUAAAAAGUCCGUCUUUUAUUUAAAAAGGCCUCAAAAUUAAUAAUAUAUUUUUAAUUGGCCACGAUAGUAUUUGUUCUUUAUCAGUGUAUAUCCAAAAAUGAGUACAGGAAGAUAAAAUUGCAUCUAAACCAUCCGAAACGUGUCAAACACAAUAAAACAACAUCCAAAACAAAAGUGAUCCCAAAACAAGCAAAUCAAUGGAAACAUGUAAAGAAAUGCUCAAAAGGGAGCUUGGCCGAAAAUUCAAAGCCACAACAAGAUCGGAGACCACAAAAGCUAUUAACGGCGUUGCUUCGACGUUGUUCACCGGAGCAAUGUUGAAAAACGUGAUUACGACCAGAUCUGGCUAGUUCUUGAUGAGCAAAAUGAAAUGGAAAGUAAAGGAGGGGGCUUCCGCGAUGUGGUGGUGAUGCGGCUGGAGCUCAAAGCUCACCGACCAUCAACUCCAGCGAACUAGCAGCACAACAAAUGAAGAAGGAGAGGGCGGCAGUGAUGCUGACUCGCUGGUCGGAGCUCGUGUGGCUUGUGGUCAGCCUUAGUUUUUCGGCGAUGUGGCUGACGGAGAACGGAUAAACUGUUAAUGUUUUAGAUCUAUAGAGAAAGUGAAAGCUUAAAUUAAAAAAAAUUAUAUAGUAGGAAUCUGUGUAUAUAUUUUUUCAUGUGUGUUUGUCUUGGUGUUUUGUCGUGUACGUUUGUGUGUUUUGUCAGAAGAAAUGGAGAUUUUUCCUGCCAGUGUCUCCGUUCAAGUCCCUUUACUGUGAUAAUAAUAUCCCUGAUAUAUAGUACGUGUGUUUAUCCGUUGGAGCGCUUUUUCUGUGUGUGUAAAUGUGUCCGUUUAAAAUUGAUUGUUGCAAAAGAUGAGAAAUAUGAAAAUUCAAGAUUUUCUUUUUGACUUUUCAAAGAUCAUGAUUAUUGGUUAGGUAAAAAAGAUGAAGAGAAAGAAAACGUGUCUUUUUUUGGUUUGUAUUUGAGAGAGAGAGAGAAAAUUUGUGUGGGUGUAUGAAAAUGUGUGUGUAGAGAGAAAAGAUGAAUAAAAUUUGUGUGUCCAAAAUAUGUCCUCCCACCACCUAUUUAUACAAAAAAUUGAGCACCCCUUUUAUCCAAUGGAUAAAGGGGUGUCCUCUCUUUUUAUAAUAAAACACUCUUAGGUCCUUAAGUUAUUAGCCAAAGAAUUUUCAUCCUUUUGAGCAACGGACAAAGUAAUUAUCCAAAGGGUAGUGUCAUUGAGUGGUCGUUAUCAGAUGUGAUGAGACAACACUGAGUGGUCAUUGUCGGACGUGACAAGACAUUCUUUUGUAGUCGUUGUCGGAUGUGAUAAGACAUCAAAUUAUUAUACUGCACAAAAAUAAUUGAUCCGACUCAGCGUUUGCAGACUGUAAAAUAUAGAUGUUGAAUGAAAAAAUGUAAAGAAUAUUAAAAUUAUUAAAGUAUAAUUAAUUUAAAAAUACUGUAAAAAAUAUAUAUAUAACGUCAUGUCAUGCACGUGCGCAAAUAUUUGCAAAAUAAUAAAUUGAUAAAAAUAGGAAAAAUUAUUAAUAAAUUAUAAAGAGUAAAAAAUCCUAAAGUAAGGAUGAAAAUCAAUAAUUUGUUAUCAAUCGUAAAAAAUAUGUGAAAGUUGUAUUUUGUUCCCUUUAACGGCUAGGAAGCCUGAAUACAUUAUUUUUAAGCACGGAGAGCAAAAAUUGGGUGUCAACAGGGAUCUAUCUUGUUUUGUCCCUCUGUCGUUUAUGCUCAAACCCUGCUAUCUUUUAUUUCAACUAAAUGAAGUGUCCCUUUUCGUUUGUGUUUUAAAUAUGUGUUGUUUGUUUUCUUAACGCAGUACAUUUUAUGUCGAUUCUAGUGAUAUGACAUGCUAGCGAAAUUUUCAGUCAGAUCUUAAAAUUCAGUUGAAGCAUGAACUUUGAAUCACAGGGGUAAAGUUAGAAAACACACCUGAGAAAAUAGGUAGAGUGCUGAGACAUUUGGUGACAAUUUGAAACCUUCUUAGAAAAUUAAGGCAAUUAUUUUUAGAAUCAUAAAAAUAACUUGGUCAUCAAUUGAAAAACAUAGCUCAGUUACGUCAAAUAGUGGAUGUGUGAUAUCUAUAUCUAGAGGAACAUAACAAAAAUCAACUUCACGAAAGCAUGAACCAUUCAAUGUGAGGGAUGAACGACAAAUAUGGAGUUGUAUAUUUGACAAGUGUAGAAGAAGAGUUGGCACACAUGCUCAGGGCAAGUUAGUGCUAUAAAAUAUGUCAUAAGUGAUAUUGAUCGUGUACUUUCACAUUGCAUUCUAUGUACUAGCAUUUUCAAGGAUUGAUAUGACGAAACAUUUCAUUCUGCUAUCCAAACAUUGUGUCAUCCUUUGUUUACUCCAUUUAAGCUUUAGUGUUAUUUUCUUUCAUACCCCUCUUUUGGAAUCAAGAUAGAGUCAGCAAAGCUUAAAAGAAAAGUGUCGAGCAAAAGAAUAGAGUCAGAAAAUUUUUAAAAAAUGUCCAAAAAGAAAGAAAAAAGAAGAAUGUCAAAAAAUAGAAUAAAAAUCCCCUAGAUAAAAAAGGUCAAUGAAACAAAAAAAAAGUCAGAAUCAAGCAAAAUAAAUUAUCGAAACUACGCGUGACCUGAGUUUUCUCUCUCGAGAGUGAGAUACACAGGCUGCCUUACUUUGGGCUCGGUCCAAUCAAAUGAACAAUUUAGAAUUGUUCGGUCAAAAGAAACUGGGCAUGAGUUAUCCUCAUUGUUUGAUUCGAUUCCAAAAUUUGUAAGUCCUACCCCACUUCAAGUAUCGUUUGAGCCUCAUGUCAUCCUUUCUUUCUAACUUUGUCCAAAAUUUAAGUUACAACCAAAGAAAGACCUUCAGAUCAAUCUUUGAGAAUGUUAGGGCUAAGUAUGCAAUGGAUAUGAUGACGUAUUUUGGGAACUACUUGUCUUCCUCGGCAUAAAGAAUUAAGAGAGAAAUAAAAAUGAGAGAGUCUUAAUGGUGGAAACCCUUACGGACAACAUAAGAUGAUGGUAAGUUGAGAGACAAAAACAAGAGAGUCUUAUUGGUGAAAAUACUCACAGGCACUGUAAGAUGAGGGUAAGUUGAGAGAAAUAAAAAUAAGAAAGUCUCAUUAGUGAAAACCCUCACGGACACCAUAAGAUAAUGGUGAGAUGAGAAAAAGAAAAUGAGAGAGGCUUAUUAGCGAAAACUCUUCAAGGCACCACUAGCUGAAUGAGAUCUUAAAUGCAAUUGACCUAAGGAAACAACUCAGUUUCAAGGCCAUUAACUCAACAACAAUUGGUAGAAAGUUUGGAUGCAAAGAUCAGGCAGCUUAAUCCAAAAUGCAUGGCAUAAUCAUUAGAGUUGACUGUCAUUUUUAGAUAAUUUUUUUGUUCUUUGUUUCAAAUAAGGACAUUCAUUGUCUUUUUUUUUUAUUUUUUUUAUUUUCUUGAGCCAAUUAUCCAAAUAAAAAAAUCAUUGUCAUUUUUUUUCUUGUCUUUAAGUCAAGUCCAUGUCAAAACAAGUGAGAAAAGAUUUCAAAACUGGCUACCAGCUUCUUCAAUUGCACAGAGCAAGACAAAAGGCCAAUACAUGAAAGAGACAUGAUUGUGAGCCGAAAUAAGGCAUGCAGAAAGUUUUGUCAACAAGACAAGUCUGAGAACUCAUGUAAAUACCAAGGUUCAAAGAGUUUAUCUGAGAAGCAUGGCAAAGCAGAGAUACUGUGUUUGUUUCAGAGUUACUCUUAAUAAUCUGAGUUCAGGUCAAUGAUGCAGCAAGUCAAUGACAUAUGCUAAUGGUUGAAAGCAGGAUUUAAUAUGAAAGGGGCAAGAGCGAUUGUCGGAAAAGCUAAAACCGCAAAUAAGCCACCAUGUUUUUAAACUCGCAAGUUUUCUUUGUAUGAAACAGGAACACAUGUUACCUUCAAAUCAAGGACUUCAAAGACUAAACAUCAAAGGCCGUAUUUUCUCACUUCUACAACUGCAAGAGGCAAUGUUGUUGCACAGGUCUGGUGAUCAAAACCACGGUAAAACUCAUAAUCCAAUAUCUCUAGGAGACACACUUCCUUGUCAGGGUAAUUCAAAUUUAUUUAUUAGGUGAUGCACUUCCUAAAUUGAACUUUCACUCCUAGAAGUCGCACUUUCUAGUUGAGUCCUUCCACUUAAUCCUUAGAAGGAACACUUCCUUGUUAGGAUAGUUCAAGUUUUAGCUUGCUAGGUGACAUACUUUCUAACUUAACCCUUUACUCCUAUAAGAUGCACUUUCUGGUUGAGUCCUUCCAUACAACCCCUAGGAGAUGCACCUCCUUAUCUGAGUAAUUCAGGUUUCAUUUAUUAGGUGAUGCACUUUCUAAAUUAAAACUUCACUCGUAAAAGUCGCACUUUCUAGUUGAUUCCUUCCCCUUAACCCUUAGGAGACACAUUUUCCUUGGUUGGGUAAUUCAAGAGAUAUUUGUAAGGAGACACAUUUCUUUGUCUGUGUAAUUCAAGAGACAUUGGUAAGGAGACUCACUUCCUCGUUUGGGUAAUUCAAGCAUUAUUUGUAAGGAGACGCACUUUCUUGUUUGGGUAAUUCAAGCGAUAUUUAUAAGGGGGUGCACUUCCUUGUUCGGGUAAUUCAAAUGGCAUUUGUAAGGAGACUCAUUUCCUUGGGUAAUUCAAGUGGCAUUUUUAAGAAGAUGCACUUCUUUGUUUGGGUAAUUCAAGCGGCAUUGGUAAGGCGAUAUACUUCCUUGUUUUGGUAAUUCAAAAGGCAUUGGUAAGGAGACACACUUCCUUGAUUGGGUAAUUCAAAUGUUACUUGUUAGGUGAUGCACUUCCUAACUUAAAGUCUUGACUCCUAGAAGAUGUACUUCCUAGUUGAGUCAGUCCCCUUGAUUCCUAGAAGAUGUACUCCUGGUCGAGUCAUCCCUCUUGAAUUGUAGAAGAUAUACUUCCUGGUCGAGUCAUUCCCCUUGAUUCCUAGAAGAUGUACUUCCUAGUCGAGUCAGUCCCCUUGAUUUUUAGAAAAUGCACUUUUUAGUCGAGUUAUUACACUUAAAUCUUAGGAGACGCACUCCAUUGUUAGUUUUCAUUUGUCAAGUGGCACACUUUUUAACUUAAACUUUUAUCUCUAGAAGAUGCACUUUCUAGUCAGAAUUCAUCACUUUAAUUCUUAGGAGAUGCAUUUCCUAGUCUUGGUCAUUUAAUUUUACUCUCAAUAGACGCAUUUAUUGGUUAUAGUCUUGGUUCAUCAUUGCAACAUGCAAGUAGUUAUGAUUAGAUUUGAUAUUCGCAAAAGUUUUUUGAUGAUAAAUUGGGGCAAAAUUGAAUUCUUGUUGUUUGAAACUUUACAUUUCUGGCAAAUGGAAUCUCUUUAUAAUAAUCUUUGUUUGGGAUAAUUUUUUUUUAGUUUUGAUGUGAUUUCAGGAGCCCGCCUGAAGAAUAGGGUGAUAAAAUUGAAAGACGGGAACUUACCCGAAGAACAAAGUGGUAAAAUUGCAAGACAGGAGCCCGCCUGAAGAACACGGUAAAGAAGUUGAAAGUCAAGCAACAAGGUGAAGAAGUUGAAAGUCAAACAACAAGGUGAAGAAAUUGAAAGUCAAGUAACAAGGUGAAGAAAUUGAAGGUCAGCAUAUUGAAAAAUAGCAAGUCAGGAGCCCGCCUGGAGAAUAGGAUGAAGAAAUUAAAAGUCAAGCAACAAGUUGAAGAAAUUGUAAGUCAGGAGCCUGCCUGAAGAAUAGAGUGAUGAAACUCAAGUCAAAAGUCCAGAGAAACUACAUAGAUAGGAUUUUGUAAUUUCAUUAUCUUUUUAACUUGUAAUUUUUAUUUUUGAUGUAAUGACAGAGCCGCGGACCAGAACCUCAAAGGGACCUCACUCGACUCUCUAACUCGGUUGUCCUUCUUCCCUCUAUGUCUUUCUUGGAAUAAUGGUCGGGUCAAAAUUUAGUCUCAUUGUCUACUUUUUUGUAUGAAAACACUUUGUGUUUACACCCAAAAAAAAGCAUGAUGUAGAACCUAAUUUUGUCCCUCCCAAAAAUCUAAUUUAUCCAUUUUUACCUUCGUCUUACCAUGUAUCCUACCUCGUGUGAUAAUCUCUUCACAAAAGAACAAAAAUAACAAAAUCACAACAAAAAAUAACAAUCCCUAUAACUAAUUUUAUCUCAUCAUAACCACUACCCUACCCCUUACCCCACCUCACCCCUAGGCAGUCUCCCCCUCAUAUUUUUUAUUCUUUUUAACCAGCAAAAAGAAGAAAGGGAGGCCCACGGGACUCCACUCACACAGCAAGGGGGCUCAAUUUCCAUUUAUAUAUAAUCACAAUAUAGAGGGGCCCACACAUAAUUCCACGAGCACUUCACCAAAACACACAGAGAUCAUCCCCCAUUUUGAUAUUAAGCAUUAGGGGUGUACAGACUAAACCAUCAAGUCAAACCAAACUGAGAAAAAAAUGACUUAUGAUUUGGUUUGAUUGAUUUGGCGUUAGAAAAAAAAACUGACCAUUCUUGAUUUGGUUUAGUGUUGACAAAAAAAAGUCAAAUUGAACCUGAAUCAAACCGACAUAAUAAUUAAAAAGUAGAUUAUAAUUAAUAUUUUAAAUAUAAAAAGUUUGAAUAUUAUAUAUAUUUUUCAACUAGUUUUAGUAAUUCAAUAAUUUGAAAGUAGAUGUAGAUAUAUAUUUAGAUUUGGGCCUUUAAGUUGUAAUAUUUGUCCAUUAAUUGCUAAUUAAAUGAUCCAAAACCCCAUAUAAACUUAAAACCUAAACUUUUCACUCUUCAUCUCACUUUUAGUUUCAAGAGAGUUUUCCGCUGCUCAUUUUUUCAUAAUUAUGAUUUUUCAUUAGCACAUGAGUGAAAACAUAUUUGUUCUAAUCUUCUAUCACAAUAUAUUUGUAAAAACUAAAGAUUAUAAAAAAAUUGAAAAAAAAUAAAAAUAAUUGAAAAACUCAAAAAAACCAACUAAAAUCUAAACCGAAAAAAUUAAUUUUAUGUUGGUUUGAUUUGAUUUAUAGUUUUAAUAAACUGACAUGAUUAUUUUAAUUAUUUUUUUAAUAAAAACCGAACCAACCCGACCUAUGUACACCCCUAUUCAGCAUAUACACACAAAAGGAAAGGGGGGCGGCCACUAGGAAUCUUCCUCACAUUUCUAACACUCACCACUUAUAGAAUUCCCAUCCAGAGAAGAACAGGCAAAAACACACUCAUCUUCUUCAUCCACCAUUCGCGCAAAAUACACAGAAAAAUCUCUAUUUUUUCCUCAUAUUCUGAGAAUUCAUUCACAUACUAAUACACAACGCACGCACACUCAGAUUUCACGAAAACACUGCCUACUUAUACACAGACUCCAAUUCCCAUAUAGAGACUGAUAUAAACAUAAUCAGUAGAAAAAUAUAAGAGAGAGAGAAAGCAGAGAUCGGGAAAGGGAGAGAUCAAGUGAGAAGAAAGAGAUCGAGGUCUAGAGAGAAAUAGAGAGAUGGUGAGAAUAGAGUGAAAAAUCGAGAGUGAUACGAGUUGAGUUGAGUUUUUCGAUGAGCAAAUCCUUGCCGUAUUUCAUCAUACAAAUCAAAAACUGACUCCACUAGUUGAAGAUAGGCAGAAAUCAAUCAAAAUUCAUUAGCAGCGACCUUACUUUGAUUCUUCGUCUGGCUAAGUUUGACGGGAUUUGCAAAAGAAGCCUUAAAUUGAUUGAAACCGACCCAUUAUGGUCGGAUUCCAAUGAAAUCUGCUGGAAACAAGCAAAGCAGGGUUGGUUCUGCUUGAAAUCAAGAUCGGGCGUGGGUUUUUUUAGCGAUUCUGUUCUUGGAUCAAUUGGGUUUCUUUGAUUUUGAGGUUCGUUCAUUGGUUUUUAUUCAAUUUGGACUCAAUUUUGUCAUUGGUUUUUGAUACCAAGCUUGAGUCGUUCCUUUUGAUAUUCUCCGUUGGUUUUUAAAUCUGAUCGGGUUGUAUUUCUCUAUACCGAGUUGAGUUUGGUAGUGGUUGAGGUUCGGUUUGAGGUUUCUGGGUACGUAC
rnacentral:lncRNA from 1 species